UACGAAGGGGGCUAGCGUUGCUCGGAAUCACUGGGCGUAAAGCGCACGUAGGCGGACUCUUAAGUCGGCGGUGAAAUCCUGGAGCUCAACUCCAGAACUGCCUUCGAUACUGAGAGUCUCGAGUCCGGGAGAGGUGAGUGGAACUGCGAGUGUAGAGGUGAAAUUCGUAGAUAUUCGCAAGAACACCAGUGGCGAAGGCGGCUCACUGGCCCGGUACUGACGCUGAGGUGCGAAAGCGUGGGGAGCAAACAGG
rnacentral:rRNA from 1 species